rnacentral:rRNA from 1 species
UACAGAGGGUGCAAGCGUUAUUCGGAAUUACUGGGCGUAAAGCGUGCGCAGGCGGUGAUGUAAGACAGGUGUGAAAUCCCCGGGCUUAACCUGGGAACUGCAUUCGAUACUGCGGUGCUUGAGGACUGGAGAGGAGACUGGAAUUCAUGGUGUAGCAGUGAAAUGCGUAGAGAUCAUGAGGAAGACCAGUGGCGAAGGCGGGUCUCUGGACAGUUCCUGACACUGAGGCACGAAGGCCAGGGGAGCAAACGGG